GUCAAAGCCAAGUUCUUCUUUCUGCAAAAUUAACACAAAAUUAUAUGCAUUUUUGAGAUGUAGAAAGCAAUCAUAAAAUGCCAUGAUGUGCCAUCAAGUCAGCACAAUCAGCAUAUAUUUGUAGAAUGCAGAAUGUUAGGCUCCUUUUAAAGGGAAAAAAAACUGAAUCAGCUGAUAAUCUUACGUUUAUACUUAUACACCAGAUGAGAGUAAUUCCAACAAAACCAAAUUCUUCAGAUCCUACUGAUGAAUAGAAGCAGUAUAGACAUCAAAUUACACAUGGCCAACAGUGAAGCACUGCACCUAGAUGGACUUGACAUUGAUAUAU
rnacentral:misc_RNA from 1 species